rnacentral:snoRNA from 1 species
CCUGGUGAGUGGUGGCUGCAGACAGUAGCUUCCUCGAUAGUGUAUGCAGACUGUUGCUUGUGUGGGUUGACCUAAGAGACCUUGGAGAUAGGU